rnacentral:rRNA from 1 species
GUAGGGAGCAAACGUUGUCCGGAUUUAUUGGGCGUAAAGGGCUCGUAGGCGGUUCAACAAGUCGGUCGUGAAAGCCCGGGGGGCUCAACUCCGGGGACGCCGGUCGAAACUGUUGUGACUUGAGUUCGGUAGAGGUGAGUGGAAUUCUCGGUGUAGCGGUGGAAUGCGCAGAUAUCGAGAGGAACACCAUUAGCGAAGGCGGCUCACUGGGCCGAUACUGACGCUGAGGAGCGAAAGCGUGGGGAGCAAACAGGAUUAGAUACCCUGGUAGUCCACGCCGUAAACGAUGAACACUAGGUGUAGCGGAUUUAUUCAUGUCUGCUGUGCCGUAGCUAACGCAUUAAGUGUUCCGCCUGGGGAGUACGGCCGCAAAGGCUA